rnacentral:rRNA from 1 species
GACGAACGCUGGCGGCGUGCUUAACACAUGCAAGUCGAACGGAAAGGCCCUGCUUUUGUGGGGUGCUCGAGUGGCGAACGGGUGAGUAACACGUGAGUAACCUGCCCUUGACUUUGGGAUAACUUCAGGAAACUGGGGCUAAUACCGGCUAGGAGCUCCUGCUGCAUGGUGGGGGUUGGAAAGUUUCGGCGGUUGGGGAUGGACUCGCGGCGUAUCAGCUUGUUGGUGGGGUAGUGGCUUACCAAGGCUUUGACGGGUAGCCGGCCUGAGAGGGUGACCGGCCACAUUGGGACUGAGAUACGGCCCAGACUCCUACGGGAGGCAGCAGUGGGGAAUAUUGCACAAUGGGCGGAAGCCCGAUGCAGCAACGCCGCGUGCGGGAUGACGGCCUUCGGGUUGUAAACCGCUUUCGCCUGUGACGAAGCGUGAGUGACGGUAAUGGGUAAAGAAGCACCGGCUAACUACGUG